rnacentral:piRNA from 1 species
UGUGCAUCAAAGAAUCCACACAGGAGAGA